rnacentral:snRNA from 1 species
AGAACUUAGACGUGGCCGACGCAGGUCAAAGUGUAGUAUCUGUUCUUAUCAGCUUCAUAGCUCAUAAGGGUAGUAUUUGGACCCAAGAUAUUAAACUUAUUUUUGCAUGUUCGCGGAGUGCUUAAAGCCUGCUUCAUAGCCUCCACGGGUCAACCCAUCAUUGCACUAUCUUUGAGAUCCGCCCACCAUCU